rnacentral:rRNA from 1 species
UACGGAGGGGGCUAGCGUUGUUCGGAAUUACUGGGCGUAAAGCGCGCGUAGGCGGACCUGCAAGUCGGGGGGUGAAAGCCCGAGGCUCAACCUCGGAACUGCCUUCGAUACUGCGGGUCUCGAGUCCGGGAGAGGUGAGUGGAAUUCCUAGUGUAGAGGUGAAAUUCGUAGAUAUUAGGAAGAACACCAGUGGCGAAGGCGGCUCGCUGGAUCGGUACUGACGCUGAGGUGCGAAAGCGUGGGGGAGCAAACAGG